GUCCCUGUAGCGCAAUGGUUUGCUCGUUGGACUUCAAAUCCAGAUGUCGUGGGCUCGAAUUCCACCUGGUAUG